ensembl:lncRNA
ACAGUUGUGCGGCUCAGGCCCUGGGGCUGCAGCCUGUGGCUCUAACUGGUAAGGUGCCGGGGUGGUGGGAGUUACCACCUGGACCAAGCCAUCUCCUUGUGUCAUGAACCCCUCCUUCCCAUCCGCCCAUGUCCCCUCAUCUCUGUCCUCAUCACACUGUCAUUCAUGUGUUGCCUUGAUAAACUGUGAUGUACCGUUCUGAGCUCUCCCGGGUGCAGUUCGGAAACUGAAAGGACCAUUAACCUGUUUUUUCUUUCUUUUUUUAAAUUUUGUAAUCUAGGCUUGAAGACUCUUUGAUGAGGGUUUUUUUAAACAGUCUUUUCUCUAAGAGCCGCUGAUGAGGGAGGGCCUCUUGAGGGUUUUCCUGAGUGACACUGUGGCACCCGCGGGUGCCUGAUCUCCGUCUGCAUUUUACCACACUUUACAGGGUAGCUAGGGUGCCGCAGUUCCUCUCUGUGCCUCAGUUUUCCCCAUCCAUUCAAUGGGAACAUUCAUGUCUGACCCCCACCCCUGCCUCAUGCCCCCUGGGGAAGGUCCCGGGAACGCCUCAGGGAGCCUAGGGGUGAUGCUAUGCAAAUGUGUGACUUUUCCUAAUGACUUCUGGUUCAAGACCCUGUUUCCCCAGCUGCCCGGGGCAAGGCCUCCCCCCUAGACUCCCUGCCUCAGAUCCAAAGCCCACCAACCAGCCAUUCUGGGCCACGUUAGCCCUGUCACUCCCUCCCUGGCCUCUGGAACUGCUCGUCAGUCUUGCUUCUUACCCUUCGGCAAAGAGGAGGCUGUUUGGAUGGAUUCAGUGGGAUCCUUCCAGGGCCAGAGAGCAUCUCGGUUGGGAGCGUGGCGUCUCCAAACCUGAAAUGCUGUAGGAGAUGUUCAUGAUUCAGACACCUGCUCUGAGGUCCUAAAAUGCCAGUUUCCCCGUCUCUUCAGUUACCCCUGGCUGUUCAGGGCGAGGAGAAGGGCCCACCCAGAGGCAAAAGGGGUGCUCCCAGCGAGGGUAAGUGUUGGAGCGAGUAUGCUUGUGUCUCUGUGUGUACGUGUGCUCGCCCUCAUCACCGUUUCCUUUUCAAGUCAGAGUCUGCCCGAAAGUCAAGGGUUUAUGGAGAGCUGGGCUCUCCAGGGACUCUGGUUGCCAUAGCAACCUUCCAGACUGUUCUCUCUAUCUUCUGCUUUGGGCAGUAAGGAAGAGCAUGCGUCUACCUAUUCCCAGCUUCUGAAUCGGGGACACCUCCCCCAUAUUGGUUUAGGGGCCGGUGGCACCUGGACGGGGAUGCAUGCCCUUUGGAAGGUGGAGGGGGGAGAAGCAGGUCCCCAAAACUUCCCAUCUGGACCUUUCUUCCUGGUUUCCCCACCUGGUCCUUGCAGCUGCCUCGUCUCACCACGGAGUCUUCAGAAACUUGAAUACGAAGCAACUGCCAGUUAAAGCCCUGUUGAUAUGAUCUGUUUGGAAAUGGCCUCGGAGGGGACAGGCUUCUGGAGGGAAGCGGGGUCUCGCCAAGGGUCACACUAGUUUUAGUCCGCAACAGCCCCAUGGAGCGCUCACGUCCUCAGAGAGAGGCUCCUGCCAGCUCCUCUCCUUUCAAGGAACAGUCUAGCACCUGGGAGGAAUCCCAGAGGUGAUUCUCCUUGAGACGUCCAAGGAAAACGGACAGGCUGACCUGACCUAGUUUCUCUGGAAGAUUCUGCCCAUCGCUCUCCUUCUGCCUCUGAGCCGUUUGGUGUGGAUCUUGCUCCCUGAGCACCAAGGGGAGCUGUGCCCAGUGCCGCCGUGACAGCUGGGGUGGUGACUUCACAGCUGCCAGCAGAGGAACUCAGGCCAUCGUUACACCUGGCUCAGGCCCCACAGGAGCUCCCCGAGGUCUUCCUGGAUCUGGCAGGCUGAGCUGAGAUGCGGGAUGUGCCUCCUGCCUGAUCGGCCCCAGGAGAGGAGGGGACAGCUGGCCGCCUUUGCACCUGAGGGGAUGCAUCUGAACGUGUGUGGCAUUGUCUUUUCUCCACCUGUCACGUGUCAGGUGAGGCAGGAUGGGAUCGAGGAGGACACGGUUCAGAGCCCCUUGUUGCGGUUCACCCAGGUGGAAGGGGUGCCGUCAGCCAAGCCGCAGUCUGCGCCCAGGGCUGCCCCUCUCCGGCUGUGCAACUGUAUGGCCCUCAGGACGCUGGGGGCCUCUCUGAGCCUUGAUCUUCUUCUCUGUGACAGGGGGCGUGAAUGUAGCCUCCCUCGCAGAGGUGGAAUUUAAUGAGAUGAUGCUAACGGGGUGCAUUCCCCCACCUGGCAUGUUGUAAGUAUCCAGUGAGAGAGCGUUGCCGUUUUCACGGUCUCUUUCUUUGCCUGCUUCAGUGGGGUACUGAGGCAUCAGUGGGUCUCUGAAAACCAUCCAGCCUUUAGGAACAGUGGAAACCACUCAAAGCGCUCAUCAGUCAGUCUUUUGGGAGAUAUGUACAUAAGCAAUAAUAAUAAAAAUAUUUGUUGGAAAAAAAAGGAGUUCCCUGACGGCUCAGGGGGUUUAGGAUCUGGUGCUAUCACUGCUGUGGCUCUGGUUACAGCUUUGGCAAGGAUUAGAUCCCUGGUCUGGGAACUUCUGCAUGCUCGGGGUGAGGCCAAAAAAAAAAAAAAAAAAAAAAAA